CGCCCCAAGAAUAACAAAUUUCUACCUGAUAUUUAAAUUAAUUAAUUUCUUGUUCCCUAUGACUCUCUGAUCCUACCCUCUUUUCUGUUAUUCUCUGCAAUGAUGUGAUCAACCGAUCUGUACUUUCCUGGUAAUAACAAAGCACAUAUCACUGAAUUAGUUUAGUGGUUUCUCUUUACUGCUACAAACAUCUGCUUUCAAGUUUUACUUCUCCGCUGUAUGUUUUUUCUACCCCUAAUAAACGUGAGCACUGUGAUCAGAAAGACGCAGGUCAAUGUCCGAUACAAUUGAGGACUUUGUUCCCAGCAACAAAUACUUGCCUACGUUUUCCAGACACUUUCCAGGAUACAGGGAUCCAAUGGUGAACAUCUUCAGCAUUCACACAGAGGUCAUGGUGGGCAAGCCUCAGGCCUCAGUACCAGACAACAGAAUAAGAGACAACGGGAGCAUGUGCAGUGGGCUAGAGGUGAGGAAAAACCUGUGCCUUUAGCAGAGCUGAGGGGAGAGCCGGAUAUUGCAACUUUCUUCCAUUGUAUUGCAUUGGUUGUAACUUUUCUUGCUUUGUCAUCUGGACAUUCUCCCACGACUUUGGGCUGUAACUAUGUCAUCCUCUUUUUAUGCCUGUGUGUCUUGCAUUUCUAUGUUGCUGUCACUUGAUUAUUUUCCCUAGAACCCCUCCCCUAUCCUAUCUCUAGUGACCCAUUUUCCUAAUUCUGUGGAGAGCGCAAUGUUCCUUUAAUUCAUGCUCUAUGACAUGGUAGCAUUUGACCUCUCCAGGCAGCACCUACCCAAAGGCCUCAUGUGAUUUGCUACCCAAGUGUGGCCAGCUCUACAAAUUGAAGCCAUGGAUACAAAAGAGUAAGAUGACUUCCGUAAGAGUGACCUCGGUGUGUUCUCUUUCCUAGGUGAAAAUGAUCCCAACGUGAGCCCCCGUUAGUAAGGCAAAGGUUGGCAUACAUGUCAAGAGAAUGUUCUCCAGCUGGGGCCUGCAGUACAGAGAAUUGUAUAUACCAGAGGGCUCAUGGGAGUCUAGGCAGAUUAUUAUGGUAAUAUUGGAGGCUGCUGUCCUCUCCCUCCCACAGCUGGGCCGCCUCUCUCAUUGAAAUUGGUGCUUCCCCCAAGUACAUUCUGGUGACCCACAAAUUGACUUGCCACCCAGCCUGACCCUUAAAGGAAAGAGGAGAAGGAUGAAGACGUGCAAAAAGGGAGAGGAGAUUGGGAUGCAGACCGCACGGUGGGAAGGCCAUUCGAGGACACAGGGAGAAGGUGCCCGUCUACAAGCCAACAAGAGAGAUCUUAGCAGAAACCAACCUUGCCAACACCUUGAUCUUGGACUUCCGGCCUCCAGAAGUUAUGUUAUGUAAGCUACCCAGUUUUGGUACUUUGUUAUAGAAGUCCUUGCAAACAAAUACAAUACCCCAAAAGUAGUUACAGAAAAAGAUGCUUUUGUAAAAUGUUGCUACUGAAAAUGUAGUCCACAAGCUAAUGGCAGUGGUAUCACCUUUUCUUGGUAAGAACUGCAGACUCUUGGGGCGCCUGGGUGGCGCAGUCAGUUAAGCGUCCGACUUCAGCCAGGUCACGAUCUCACGGUCCGUGAG